rnacentral:rRNA from 1 species
UAGGGAAUAUUGGACAAUGGGCGAAAGCCUGAUCCAGCAAUGCCGCGUGAGUGAAGGAGGCCCUAUGGGUUGUAAAGCUCUGUGGAAGGGGAAAAUAAUGAUGGUACCCAUUUAGAAAGCACCGGCUAACUACGUGCCAGCAGCCGCGGUAAUACGUAGGGUGCAAGCGUUGUUCGGAAUUACUGGGCGGAAAGGGGGAGUAGGCGGAAAGAAAAGUCAGAUGUGAAAGCCCUGUGCUUAACGCAGGAAGAGCAUUUGAAACUAUCUAACUAGAGUGUAUUAUGGGAGCGUGGAAUUCCUAGUGUAGCAGUGAAAUGCGUAGAUAUUAGGAGGAAGACUCGUGGCGAAGGCGACGCUCUGGGGUAACACUGACGCUGAGGACCGAAAGCAUGGGGAGCAAACA